rnacentral:pre_miRNA from 11 species
GGAUGCAUUGCUGGGCAAUUACUCUUUCAGUAGUCAAUAUGCACCAUGUUACAUUUAACUGCCAAGGAGAUUUGCCCUGUAAUUCAGCU